rnacentral:rRNA from 1 species
GAUGAACGCUGACAGAAUGCUUAACACAUGCAAGUCAACUGUGGCGGACGGGUGAGUAACGCGUAAAGAACUUGCCUCACAGCUAGGGACAACAUUUGGAAACGAAUACUAAUAGCUGAUACUGUGAGAGAGCUUUGCGUCCCAUGAGCAAGUUGGAGAGGUAACGUCUCACCAAGGCGAUGAUGGGUAGCCGGCAUGAGAGGGUGAUCGGCCACAAGGGGACGGAGGCACGGGCCGUACGGCGACGGGAGGCAGCGGGGGGGAAUAUUGGACAAUGGACCAAAGUCUGAUCCAGGAAUUCUGUGUGCACGAUGAAGUUUUCGGAAUGUAAAGUGCUUUCAGUUUGGAAGCGGUACCUACAGAAGAAGUGACGGCUAAAUACGUGCCAGCAGCCGCGGUAAUAC